rnacentral:rRNA from 1 species
AUACGGAGGGUGCGAGCGUUAAUGGGAAUUACUGGGCGUAAAGCGUGCGUAGGCGGUUUGCUAAGUCAGAUGUGAAAGCCCCGGGCUUAACCUGGGAACUGCAUUUGAUACUGGCAGACUAGAGUAUGAUAGAGGGGGGUAGAAUUCCUGGUGUAGCGGUGAAAUGCGUAGAUAUCAGGAGGAAUACCAGUGGCGAAGGCGGCCCCCUGGAUCAAUACUGACGCUGAGGUACGAAAGCGUGGGGAGCGAACAGGAUUAGAAACCCUAGUAGUCC